AAAAAAAAUCUUGAUUUUUUGAUUUUUUUUCGAUUCUUUCUCUUUUUUUUUAUUUUUUUAUUACAUUUGUAAUGCCCCAGCUUGACUGUUUUGCUGAUUCUCAAGAUACAGCUGAAUGAUCUUCUUUUCAUAUUCAAGAAGACGAGUGAUCUCAUCAGGAAUAUCCUUCAACAUCAUCUUCCUCUGCCUCAAAUACAGGGAAUUC
rnacentral:lncRNA from 1 species